GUGGACAGUUCAUCCAUGGAGACCUUCGAAAGCCAUCCGGAUUUAACCCAGGAUGACCAGACAGAAAACACAGGGUAACUUGAAGUCAAUGAAACUUGACCACUGUGUACAGAAUCAGGUUGUACCAAAAUUUAGUCUUCUUUAACUGGAUAGAAAAGUAAAUUAUCCAGGGAGUGGAGUGGGAAUAUAAAAUAAUUGUAGAAACACAUUUGGCCUCAGCAAUCUGCACCUGAGCAUCUAAGACAUUAUCAGAGGUAUUGUGAAAAUGCAUUGCACAACUUGUUUGAAGGUUAGGAAUUUAAGGAAAAGCAUACUUGAACAGAUAUUUACUCUCUAAACUGUGAAGUCUGGAAAGCAAAAUAGAAUGUAUAAACAUGGUAUAUAAAUUUAAAUUGUCAUUGUGGCCAGGUCUACAGAUAAUUACAACUGAAAUACUUUGUCCUAGGACAGAGAGGAAAUUUCCAUCCUACAAUCAUGUAGAAUGGUGGCUGCAAAAUGCACAGAAGAAUAACUCUCUGAUACAAGGAUAGUUUCACAAAACAGCAGCGGGUUGAUAUGUUUUCCCCUAAUAGCACAGAAAAGGGUUUUUUGGGGGGUUUUUUGUUUGUUUUUUUUGAGGGUUUUGUUUUUUGUUCUGCAGAGGUUUCUGGAACACACUUUGUUAGUCUUCUUAAAAAUUGCAAAACUCUAAUAUAUGUGGUUAGAAUGUAAGUUCAAUCAGCUAGUGUAAUCCUAUAUACCCAGUAGAUUCAUUUUUUAAAUGGUACACUAUGAACAAGAACCCACUGCAUACAAUUAGUAUUUUCAGAGUCCCACAUCUCAGUCUAAUCAUAACCAGAUUUUUUGAGUGACAGAAUUCACUGUAUUUUAGUUUAUCCCUUUUACAUCCCACACACCACUUUCGAAGUCUCAAAUAUUUUAGAGGUGUUGAAGUAAAGACUGAAAACAUAACUCAGAAACAGAGGAAGUGUUUUAUCUGUCUGUUCCUGUGCUAACACAUACUAAAAUAUUUUCCUGUCCUUAUUGCACUCUCAAAGAUUCACCAGGAGAGCUAUGCUGGAAUACAGAUGAGUUAAAGAAAAUGGCAAAAUUGGAAAUCUUUCAAAAAUAGGAAUAGAAGAAUUCUUUCUCUAUCUUAAUUACUAAAACAUAAGAAUGUGUAUCAUUUUUGGAAUUACUUGUAAGGAAUUUUUUUAUAGCCCAUUUUAGCUUCUCCUAGAAGCACUGCACAUUUUCUGCAUUUUCCCAGCUUUCAAACAGCUAUAGAUUGUGAAAUGAAAAACUAAAACUUAAAUCCAGUUGUGAAUUUGCACUGUAGUAAGUUUCACUUGAUGUUUAAAACAUGCUAAAUAUCCUUUUCAGGGUAAUCCAAAGUACAGGAGGUAGUUCAUUUGGCUUGCCAAUUCUCAUGGUGCAGGUUAGGAUCUUCAGUGUGAGUGUAGGCCACCUCAAUUUAACACCUGUCUUUCACUUACCAUUUUUAUACUUCUAAUACUUUUCCUUUCUUACAUUUGCCUUCAUUAUAUCCUUUUUAUUAUUAUUGUUUAGACACAGAGUAAACAAUGCAUAUUAUAGCAUAGUUCUCCAUCCUCAUUCUAUUUUCCUAUGAUGAUUUUUUUCAACAUUAGGUGGACAGUACAUCACUACUGCAGCAAAUGUCAUUAGCAGAUAGAUCAUUUUUUCCAGUGCUUGAAACCUCUGAGAAGAGGGAAUUUUAUCAGGUUUGUGUGUUCUAACAGUCUAAAAAUAAGAUUCUAGUCAGCCUCAGUUUGAAGCUUUUCAUUAGAUCUAAAUCCCAGGCAUCUUUCUGAAAAUUAAAUGAAGGAAAUUGGAAUAAGGGACAACCACUUCUUGUCUUCAACAAGUUGAACUCCAAAGUUUGUUUAUUCACUCUUCUAGUUAUAUAAUUUAAACUGGACUAAGUUGAGUAAGAGGUUCAUUUACUCUUUGUUAGGAUACUUUUGAUAAGGUUAAAAAAAAUUAAAAGAAUGUAAACAGGUUUCUAUUCAUCUAACACAUUUUUCACUACCUGUUGCCAUUUUGGUUUUUCAAAUUAAGUAUAUAAUUAGUUUGACUAUAUUCUUUCCUUAGAGAUUGACAGGAAAAUCUAUGGCUUGUGAAGGUGGAAAACAAAGAAAUCAAUAGGUGUCUGUGUUAGUGGGAACCUGAGGGGAUUUGUAAGUGUGGCAGCAAGAGCUGACGAUUUUUCUAAGGUGAUAUUCUACACUAUGUCAGAGAUUAUAUCUUGAUUCUUAUUGCAGAAUCAGUAAAAAAAAAAAAUACUACAAACUCUGCUUUCUUAUGGCAGAGAGAAUACACUUGGAAUCUACUCAACCAUUUCCCACGAGUGAAUUUUUAUUCAUAUUUUUCUGUCCUAACAAAUACUCCCCAUACAUCACAGAGGCACAAGGACACUUGCAAAUAGAGUUUACCUAUACAAUAGUCUGGAAAUCUUAAAGCUAUGAAGGGUUUGGGGAAGAAAACAAAGGAAAUCUUUGGUAAUAAAAAGUUCUUUCAAACUA